UGUCGCGGAAUGGUAACGCGGCUUGAGAGAUGCUAGCAUAUGACGCUAGCGCGUGUGACUUGAGCGACUCGUGCCGCCAGUGCAGAUAAUAUGGGGAGUUAUCGCAUUUCCUUGAAACAUUUUUGACGUCAAAUGUGGCACUUUUGCCAGCCCUUGUUUAAUGUGCGUCGUGUCUUUUUGACCUUGAAUACUCCAUCUUUCACCAACACGGUACUACAGAGACUAUCAAGCAUGGGCCCUGUGCGAAAGCCGGCAGUGCUGGUCACACGGCAGGAUGUAGCUAAAGAAGCUCUGGACCUUCUCCUUGAUAAGUGUGACGUCGAGAUUUGGAAUGAAGACGAGCCGAUUCCCAGACCAGUUCUUCUGCGAAAGAUUGCUGGCAAAGACGCUCUGUUUUGCUUGGUUACGGAGAAGGUAGACUCUGAAUUGUUGGAUGCCGCUGGCCCCUCCUUGAAGGCAGUCGGUACGAUGUCGGUUGGUUAUGAUCACGUCAACGUUGCUGAGUGCACUAGAAGGCGAAUCGCAGUCGGUAAUACGCCUCAUGUGCUAACUGACGCAACAGCGGAGCUAGGAAUUGGUCUUUUGCUAGCGACUGCUCGGCGACUGUUCGAAGCUCAGCAGGCAAUAGGCAGUGGAGAAUGGGCCAAGGCUGCAAUGAAACCGACAUGGAUGUGUGGCUCUGAGAUCAGAGGGUCAACUGUUGGAAUAGUUGGCAUGGGCAGCAUAGGGUUUGGAAUCCUUGAAAGGCUAAAGGCAUUUAAGGUGUCACGGUUCCUAUACCAUUCAAGGUCGCACAAGACAGCAGCGGAGACAAUGGGUGCUCAAUUCACAACAUUGGAGGAAUUGCUGAGACAGUCUGACUAUGUGAUAGUCUGUUGUGCCCUUACACCUGAAACAAAAGGAAUGUUCAACAGACAGGCCUUCAGCAUGAUGAAGAGUACAGCAUCAUUUAUCAACAUUAGCAGGGGCCAAGUUGUAGACCAAGAGGCACUUUAUGAAGCCCUAACUUCCGGAAAAAUCCGGUCUGCUGGUUUGGAUGUCAUGACACCAGAGCCACUCCCAAAAGAUCAUCCCCUAUCAAAGUUACCGAAUUGUGUUGAUGCUGUUUCUAAAGUCUACUAGAAUACAGUUGAGUGAGACUAGCAGCUGGGGCAGCGCAUGCUUUGCAGCACUUCGUAAGAACAGGUGCUCCGACAACACGAGGACCGCUGUGCUCCUGCCCCACAUCGGUAGUGCAGCGACUCAAACCAGAACUGCAAUGGCUGUGUUAACAGCACAGAACAUAUUGGCUGCUCUUGAUGGCAUACAAAUGCCUGCUUCUCUGAACUAGGGUAUCAUGCACUCAUUAACAUGGAAGAGUAUAUUCCUGUACCUUUUUAAAAGAAAGAAAAGGAACAUCCACAGCUAAUACAUUUAGCCAAAGGCACCUGAAAUGUUAUAGCACUUAUUGAGGUUUUUAUCAUUUGUUGUUUCAAGGAGCUCAGAACAAAGAAAGCAGAAACACAAAUGUGUUCGCACUUGCAACUUUGUGUGUGUAUUACUGGGAAGUUUGUAUGCAGAAGUGAGGAAAAUGAGAGAUGCAGAACAAGAGGUAGUCAAAACGUGCAUUUCUCCGUUCAGUGUAACAAAAUGUCUAGUGCAACUUGCAGUCCUCUGGUAAAUUUUGUUUGCAUGUUGUCAGAGCAAUAAAUUGAAUUUUUUCAUUCUU